rnacentral:rRNA from 1 species
CUAACGAGGAUUUCCUUAGUAACGGCGAGUGAAAAGGAAAAAGCCCAACGCUGAAUCCAAUAGAUAAUUAACUAUAUGGAAAUGUAGCGUAUAGGUGUAACUAUCCGUAACAUAUUUUUACACCCAAAGUCCCCUUGAGCGAGGCCAUAAUCCAUAGAAGGUGCUAGACCUGUACGGGUGAAAAAAGUUACGGUAAGUUAUUCCUUGGAGUCGGGUUGUUUGAGAUUGCAGCCCAAAGAGGGUGGUAAACCUCAUCUAAGGCUAAAUAUGACCAUGAGACCGAUAGCAAACAAGUACCGUGAGGGAAAGUUGCAAAGAACUUUGAAGAGAGAGUUCAAGAGGGCGUGAAACCGCUGAGAUGGAAACGGAUAGAGUUAACGAAACUUAUCGAUAUUCAACCGAUCAAUUUAGCAAACUUUAUUGAUUUAUUAUUCAUGAAUAAUGAAUAAAAUGAUAUUAAAGUAAAUAAAUGCUAAAUUAAAUAUAAAAAAAUGAUUGGUGUAUUUAUCGAUAGUAUGCAUCGAGAGCUUCGUUUAUAGCAUAUUAUAGAAGCUAAUUUUUAGUGGACCAAUUAUUAUAAUUAAUAAUUGUAAUCCUAAAAAUAUGUUUUCAAUAUGUCUUAAAUGAAGUUUUAAUCCCAAUUAUGUAACUCUCAUUAUUUUUAAAAAAAUAAUGACAUACAUCGAUUAUAAAUUUUAUUAAUUACAUUUACAUGUAGUCGCAUGCGACUUUAACAGUAAAUGUUAAAUGCAAUAAAUUGAUAAAUUAUAAUAUUGUAUGAAUAAGUUACAUCUCGAUGUGAACGUUAAUCACCUAUCUGACCCGUCUUGAAACACGGACCAAGGAGU